AGAGUUUGAUCAUGGCUCAGGACGAACGCUGGCGGCGUGCUUAACACAUGCAAGUCGAACGAGAGGACAAGAGAAGCUUGCUUCUUUUGGAAUCGAGUGGCAAACGGGUGAGUAACACGUAAACAACCUGCCUUCAGGAUGGGGACAACAGACGGAAACGACUGCUAAUACCGAAUACGCUUGGGAGACCGCAUGAUCUUCCAAGGAAAGGGUGGCCUCUACCUGUAAGCUAUCGCCUGAAGAGGGGUUUGCGUCUGAUUAGGCAGUUGGCGAGGUAACGGCCCACCAAACCUACGAUCAGUAGCCGGUCUGAGAGGAUGAACGGCCACACUGGAACUGAGACACGGUCCAGACUCCUACGGGAGGCAGCAGUGGGGAAUCUUCCGCAAUGGGCGAAAGCCUGACGGAGCAACGCCGCGUGAGUGAUGACGGCCUUCGGGUUGUAAAGCUCUGUGAUCGGGGACGAACGGUCCGUAAGUCAAUACCUUAUGGAAGUGACGGUACCCGAAUAGCAAGCCACGGCUAACUACGUGCCAGCAGCCGCGGUAAUACGUAGGUGGCAAGCGUUGUCCGGAAUUAUUGGGCGUAAAGCGCGCGCAGGCGGCUUUCUAAGUCCAUCUUAAA
rnacentral:rRNA from 1 species